GACAACGCUGGCGGCGUGCCUGACACAUGCAAGUCGGACGGUUCUUGUAUCUUCAAGCUUGCUUGCAGGUGCAAGGAUAGUGGCGGACGGGUGAGUAACGCGUGAACAUCUACCCAUUGGAGGGGGACAACCCGUCGAAAGGCGGGCUAAUACCGCGUAAGCCGCGAGGUGAGAGGCUGCCUAUUGGUGGCCGCCGAUGGAUGGGUUCGCGUCCUAUCAGCUGGUUGGUGGGGUAACGGCCUACCAAGGCGAAGACGGGUAGCCGGUCUGAGAGGAUGGCCGGCCACACUGGAACUGAGACACGGUCCAGACUCCUACGGGAGGCAGCAGUGGGGAAUAUUGGGCAAUGGGGGAGACCCUGACCCAGCGACGCCGCGUGAGGGAUGAAGGCCUUCGGGUUGUAAACUGCUUUUGUACGGAACGAAAAGACUCUUUCUAAUACAGAGGGUCCAUGACGGUACCGUAAGAAUAAGCACCGGCUAACUACGUG
rnacentral:rRNA from 1 species